CUACGGGAUGCUCCAGUGAGGAAUAUUGCACAAUGGGGGGAACCCUGACGCAGCAACGCCGCGUGGAGGAUGACGCAUUUCGGUGUGUAAACUCCUUUUAUAUGUCAAGAAAAUGACGGUAGCAUAUGAAUAAGCACCGGCUAACUCCGUGCCAGCAGGCCGCGGUAAUACGGAGGGUGCAAGCGUUACUCGGAAUCACUGGGCGUAAAGGACGCGUAGGCGGGUUGGAAAGUCAGGUGUGAAAUCCUACAGCUUAACUGUAGAACUGCACUUGAAACUUCUAAUCUAGAGUAUGGGAGGGGGAGAUGGAAUUAGUGGUGUAGGGGUAAAAUCCGUAGAUAUCACUAGGAAUACCUAAAGCGAAGGCGAUCUCCUGGAACAUUACUGACGCUAAGGCGUGAAAGCGUGGGGAGCAAACAGGAUUAGAUACCCCCGUAGUC
rnacentral:rRNA from 1 species